ACCCGGAUGUGACGUUUCAUAAGGUCGACACGUCACGAUUUAACAAGCGGAUUACGAUGAUCACGUGUGUAGAGAAGCACUUUUUUCCAUCGACUAUGGAAUCCCCGAAGGGACAAAAUGCACUCAGUGAAAUCAACAGGUGAUUGUACUCAUGGUUUGGUACAAAAGCAGCAUCCAGGAAAGGCUGAGUCUUUGAUGAGAAUAGAUGAUCAGAGGAUCUCCAGUUUGUCAACAAAUG